AGGGCACCACCAGGAGUGGAGCCUGCGGCUUAAUUUGACUCAACACGGGAAAACUCACCCGGCCCGGACACUGGAAGGAUUGACAGAUUGAGAGCUCUUUCUUGAUUCAGUGGGUGGUGGUGCAUGGCCGUUCUUAGUUGGUGGAGUGAUUUGUCUGGUUAAUUCCGAUAACGAACGAGACUCUAGCCUACUAAAUAGAUCGUCGGCUUACAAACGCCGGCGAGACUUCUUAGAGGGACAGGCGGUGAUUCAACCGCACGAAACAGAGCAAUAACAGGUCUGUGAUGCCCUUAGAUGUCCGGGGCCGCACGCGCGCUACAUUGAAGUGAUCAGCGUGCUUUUUCAACCUACUCUGUCAAGAGUGGGGAACCCAAUGAACCUUCUUCGUGAUUGGGAUAGGGGAUUGUAAUUAUUCCCCUUGAACGAGGAAUUCCCAGUAAGCGCGAGUCAUAAGCUCGCGUUGAUUACGUCCCUGCCCUUUGUACACACCGCCCGUCGCUACUACCGAUUGAAUGUUUU
rnacentral:rRNA from 1 species